AAUCAUUUUACAUAAAUGGAACAUCUUUAUAGAUAAUGUAAUUAAAAAACCAAAACAGGAUUACUCUUUAAGCUGUAUGGCUGUAAUCUUUCUGUUGUCUACAGCUUAUUAUCCCCUCUUUCCACUAUAGCACUAUGUGCUCAGCCAAGCAUUAGCCAUUGAAAUGCUUUAUUUUGUCAUUGUUAUGGCACUAAUAACAGUUAAAAGUGUUCCAACAUAUCAUUUGAAUAUUUCAGGUAUUAUAUAACUACAAUAAUUGCUGGUUGAAUGUGACUAUGUCCACUUAUUCUCCAGAUCAUCUAGUCCAGAAGGCCUUUUUACCACAGUUCAUUCUAAACUACGGCUGAUAGAUUUGGAUGGUCCACUAUCGAUCGUACUAGCUAGUUGAUCCUUCAAGAGGCCUCAGCAAAUACACUGACGGUAAUAAGAAUGGAGGGAUCCCGUAAUAGUAACCAGCUGAUAUAAAUUCUUAAAUUAUGAUAGGGCGGUUUGACAAGAAUAUUAUACUCUUCAAUACUCCCCGUCAAGAAUAAAAUAUUACCGAAGAAAAUGGCAUUUAAGACUUGCGGUCUUGAGGUCACGACUUCGAUUUCCUGGACGUUCUGGGAGUAAUCGAAAUCUUCCAUAACUUUAAUUUAGGACUACCAUGCUCAGGGGUGUGAGUGUGCAAGUAUGUCCAACCAGAUUAGUCGAGGUGCACAAAUAUUACCGAAGACUUGAACCGAGUACCUUGUAAACCGAGCUCAAGUAUUGUUUGCCUAGAUUAUGACUGAAGACUCUGGAGAAAGAUUGUACAUAAGUAUCGUAGGGUCUGGAACGAUAAAAAGAUUAUUAUGCAACAAAACAGAAUAUGAACAAUUUUAUGUUUGGAUCGUGAUCAAUUACAGAUGGUGUGUAACAGUAGUUCUGUAAUAUUCUGAAAUGGCUUCAAUUACAAGAUGUAUUCAUCUGCCGUUUUCAACUCUGAUUCUAUUGUCA